rnacentral:rRNA from 1 species
GACGAACGCUGGCGGCGUGCUUAACACAUGCAAGUCGAACGGAAAGGCCUGCUUUCCCUUGUGGAUUGCGGGUACUCGAGUGGCGAACGGGUGAGUAACACGUGAGUGAUCUGCCCCCAACUUGGGUAUAAGCCUGGGAAACUGGGUCUAAUUCCCGAUAGGACUGCAGGGUGGUGCCUGUGGUGGAAAACGAUUUUCUAGUGGUUGGGGAUGAGCUCGCGGCCUAUCAGCUUGUUGGUGGGGUAAUGGCCUACCAAGGCGGCGACGGGUAGCCGGCCUGAGAGGGUGGACGGCCACAUUGGGACUGAGAUACGGCCCAGACUGCUACGGGAGGCAGCAGUGGGGAAUAUUGGACAAUGGGCGGAAGCCUGAUGCAGCGACGCCGCGUGGGGGAUGACGGCAUUGGGGUUGUAAACUCCUUUCGACCGCGAGGAAGAAACCUGGUUGGAAGGGUGGUGACGGUAGUGGUAGAAGAAGCACCGGCUAACUACGUG